ensembl:lncRNA
CAGCUCCGCGUCGCCGCCGCCGCCGCCGCCUCCCGGCAGUGCCGUCCGGCCUCUGAGAGGCAGCGCGCGGCCCCCGCACGCUCCGCGCCCGCCCCGCGACGCGCGCGCCCGCCCGGCGACGCUCGCCUUCCAGCCGGCGCGCGGCCGUUGCCCUCAGGGCCGGGUCGCCCGCCCUCUCCGCGCUCCCAUUGGCUCCAGGCGCCGGGCGCGCGCGUUGCGUCUCGCGCGGGGCGCGUUUCUCUCAUUCAUGCGGCUCACGCCGCCGCGCCCGCCCCCGCGCGCGCUCCCAUUCACCGUGCGGCCCCCACCCCCACGCCUCCCUAGGGCGUGCGCGCUCACCCCGGCGACCGCGGCGACCUCGCGGCCUGAUUGGCUGCGGGAGCAGAGCGCCGCGCCACGCGAGAACACACGAGAGCGCGCGCGCGCAGGGCCGUCGGGCUUCGCCGGCGACUGCCCGGGGAGGGUCGGCGUACUGCGCGGGAGUCAGAAAUGGGGGAAUGGUCGGGCAAGCGGAUUCUUCACCAGCUGAGCUACCAAGAAGGGCGAAGCUCCAGCCAAAGAUCCGGAGAGAAGAGAGAGGAGAGCCGGCAACAGCCUUGGGGCCCCAGGGCCACCCGUGGGAGGGGACGCCGGGAGUGCGCGCGGAGGCAGCAGCGGUCCCUGGAGUAAGAGUUUCAGUUCAGUUCAUUCACUCAGUCGUGUCCAACUCUUUGCGACCCCAUGGACUGUAGCCCACUAGGCUCCUCUGUCCAUGGAAUUCUCCAGGCAAGAAUACUGGAGUGAGUAAGCCCUUCCCUUCUCCAGGGGAUCUUCCUGACCCAGGAAUCAAACCGAGGUCUCCCACAUUGCAGGCACAUUCUUUACCAUCUGACCCACCAGAGAUAUGUGUAUAUGUAUAACUCACUUUGCUGUACACCUGAAACUCGGUUCAGUUCAGUUCAGUCUCUCAG